rnacentral:rRNA from 1 species
AGAGUUUGAUCCUAGCUCAGGAUGAACGCUGGCGGCGUGUCUAAGGCAUGCAAGUCGAACGCGCCGAUGGAUUCCGCAAGGGGUUCGUCGGUGAGUGGCAAACGGGUGAGUAACACAUUGGUACGUACCGGCAAGACAGGUAUAACUAACCGAAAGGUUAGCUAAUCCCUGAUGGUCUCCGGCGCAAGUCGGAGUAAAGGCGCAAGCCACUUGCCGAUCGGCCUAUGGCUUAUCAGGUAGUUGGUAGGGUAAUGGCCUACCAAGCCAAUGACGAGUAGCGGGGAUGAGAGUCCGACCCGCCUCACUGGGACUGAGACACUGCCCAGACACCUACGGGUGGCUGCAGUCAAGAAUCUUUCCCAAUGGCCGAAAGGCUGAGGAAGCGACGCCGCGUGAGUGAAGACGCCCUUCGGGGUGUAAAGCUCUUUUAACUGGGAAAAAUCUUCGGAUGAUUGUACCAGUUGAAUAAGGACCUGCUAAACUCGUGCCAGCAGCCGCGGUAAGACGAGUGGUCCAAGCGUUAUCCGGAUUUAUUGGGCGUAAAGUGUGCGUAGGUGGUUGAAUAAGUUCUUGGUUAAAUCUUUGGGCUCAACCUAAAGUCAGCUGAGAAAACUAUUUGACUUGAGGCCGGGAGAGGCAAGUGGAACUGCCGGUGGAGGGGUAAAAUCCGUUGAUAUCGGCAGGAACACCAAAAGCGAAGGCAGCUUGCUAGAACGGUCCUGACACUGAGGCACGAAAGCGUGGGGAGCAAAAAGGAUUAGAUACCCUUGUAGUCCACGCCCUAAACGAUGGAUGCUGGACAUUGGAAGUGUCGACCCUUUCAGUGUCGAUGAAAUAAGUUUACACGUUAAGCAUCCCGCCUGGGAAGUACGGCCGCAAGGCUAAAACUCAAAGGAAUAGACGGGGACCUGCACAAGCGGUGGAACAUGUGGUUCAAUUCGAUGCCAAGCGAGGAACCUUACCAGGGUUUGACAUGCUAGGAGUAGUUCUGAUGAAAAUUGGGACGACCGUUAAAUCGGAGCCUAGCACAGGUGCUGCAUGGUUGCCGUCAGCUCGUGCCUUGAGGUGUACCCUUAAGUGGGGAAACGAGCGCAACCCUUGUCUUAUAUUGUCCUGACUUUAAGUCAGGGGUCUUAUAAGAGACUGCCGGUGAUGAGCCGGAGGAAGGUGAGGAUGACGUCAAAUCAGCACGGCCCUUAUGCCCUGGGCGACACACGUGUUACAAUGGCCGGUACAAAGGGAGGCCAAGUCGCAAGACGGAGCAAAUCCCAUCAAAGCCGGUCUCAGUUCGGAUUGAGGUCUGCAACUCGACCUCAUGAAGCCGGAAUCGCUAGUAACUGUGGAUCAGCCUCGCCACAGUGAAUACGUUCUCAGGUCUUGUACUCACCGCCCGUCAAGCCAAGCAAGCCGGGAGCACCUGAAAAUCCACGUUCGUGGAGAUAAGGUGAGUUCGGUAAGAGGGGCUAAGUCGUAACAAGGCACCCGUAGCGGAAGCUGUGGGUG